rnacentral:misc_RNA from 1 species
CGAGGGCGAGGUCGGCGCUACCUUGGACUCUACGCUCCCUCACACUCAGACAGACGGGGCGUACGCAUGCACACCUCGCCACAUCUCCUCCGUCCCUUUUUCUCUUCCCCCCCCCGUUCAGGCGGCCGGGUACACCGCGAGGCGACUUCCGAAGUCGACGCAGCAGCAACAGCGGUGGUGGGCGCACCAAACGCCUGUACACCUCAUUGAAUACGAGAUUGCAUUGAGAGACAGGAAGGAGCCGAGAAGAACCCUGCCGGCGUGUGGCAUCGGGAGAGCAGUGUCGCGAGUAGGCCAGAAGGGUCGCGGUGUUUCAACGUAGCGCAUUCCCCCCUCCCCCCACACACGCACACAGAUACACAGACACACACGCCACCUCCUGCGAAGCACGCGAUUCAACGUCACCAUGCAGCAUCCGCCGGUGGCAACCGUGGGGGCACAUGCACCGUUGACGCACCGCAUGCGUUCUCUGUGGCGUGUUCUGCCCCUCUCUACAAAGCCCAAUAGGUGGGCCCCUCUCAUGGAAUCGUGGAAAACGGCACUGCAGCACACGCGCAACGCCGCUGUACCGCGCAUCCGAAGGAGCAGCAACUGUCGCGGUUUCACCGCGUCUGCUGGUGACGUCUCCAGUCAUGCCCUACUCGCCAGCCAUCGAACGUGCUGCUCCUCUGCGUCCUCGUCCUCGUCGUGGAAACCGCCGUCAUCUGCAGGAGCGGCGACCGCCGCAGCCGCUGCAGAGCCGGAGAUGAUCUCACUUGACGCGAUAGAGAUCGAGGUGGUGAGUGCCGAGGAAUCCCCGUCGACGACGUCCACGACCGCCACAGUGCGUCAUGCGGAAGUGCACAGGGAAACGCCUUUCCCACGUCACAGAAACCAUUGUGCGCCGCAUCCCCACUGUCAUCACAAUCAGCGGCAGCGCGAAGUGUGUGCGACAGACUUCUUCACGGCACAGCUUCACGCCACCUCAGCUGCGGGUGGCCGCGAAUACGACAGCGAUGGCGCCUCCACAGCAUCCGCUGCGCAUGUCGUCAGCGGCAGCGGUGAGGCGGAAACCGGCGUGCCGGCCAGUGCCGUGCAGCGGCAGGACUACUGCGACGCUCACACGAUCGACGCGUUUGCGCGAGGGCGCAUCGCCAACUUUGUGCGGCGCAUGGGCCACAGCACUGGAACGGUAUUUCACGUGCGUGCCAUGACGCCGGCCCAGGCAGCGGCGGUCACCGGAAGUGCGACAGGGCCGACACUCUUCGCGGCGACGUGUCGGCUGCCGUUGCCGGAGCCGCAUGGCUCGCGCGUGGCCGAAGGCGUUGCAGAAGACGCGAAGGAAGCCGAGGCGCUCGCUGCCAUGCACGCCGAACGCGUGUGUGACGCACUCGGCGUGCAGCUCUUCCGCCUGAGGACAGCACAGCAGAAGCACGCGGACGCCGUGCGAAAGGAAGAGGGCCGCUAUGCGCCCUACCCCGACGACCCCAUCAAGCCGCUCGGGACGCCUAUUCCACCCCCGCUGCGCCUGCUGCGCUCCCGCAUGCACGCGUCGUCGAACGCACCCGGCGCUGCGUCGGCACGGUCGGUCUUCUCGGUUGCCUCUGAAGUCGCCGCUGCUGAUGCGGUAGCCUCUUUGCAGUCCCAUCGGUACACGGCUGAACGAGGCGAAGCGUCGGCAGCAACAGUGGCAGCGCCUCGGGUGCAGAGGUCGCAUCUGGCACGGACACCACCAGCACCCCGGGAGGUGCCGCUAGGUGGCCAGGCGCAGCCGGCGGAAUCAGCAGAGAGUGGUGUUGGAGAGGACGACUCGGCGUCAGCCAGUCCCGCCACCGCCGGUGGGAGCGUCGCGCCGCCCUCCGCCGCCGGCGCGGCGAUGGGCUUCGACUCGACCAGGAUUGUGCUGCGCCGCCACGACCCUGUUGACGACUACGCACAGUUGGUGUUUCACUACACGGAUGAAGAGCACGCCGACCGAGUGCGGACGUACGCCAGCAGUGUCUACUACCCCUGGAUAUGCCAGUGGGAAGGGGCGGCCGUGGCGCAGGGAGACGUCAGCGCAGCUCCACAGGGUGGUGCUAUGGGCAGUGAUGGCACUGCCGCCGUCGCCACCCUAGGGCAGGUGUUUGACCCCACGGAAAACGGCAUGUGGUCGAUGGUAAAUGACCGCGAUAUGCGCUGCUCCCCCACGCCGCAUGAGGCGCUUGUGCUGCCUAUCGUGUACGACGGCCCGUGCGCCGAGGCGCGCAUCACUGACUACUACGCCCAGCACAACACAACGCUCAAGGAGCAUCUCAGGGUGCGCUCUGCUUCUGGGUCAACGGGAAGUCCGCAGCGCAUGGUGGAGGCGGAACUGCGACUUAUAGGUCUCACCAUUGCAGCGAAGGGGAAGGCGCAGACGGAGCAGAUGGCCAUCCACCUCGCCGCCAUGCACGCGGAGCUGCUGCUGGAUGCACUGGGGCAUCCGCUCUUUCCAGCCGACCCACAGCGGCAGGCACGGCACGCCGAGGUGGUGGCUGGCUACGGGCGGUGGGCCAUGAACCCCCUCACUGGCGGCAUCACACCACCGAACCCACACGACGCGCUUCCGCUGCCGCUGAAGAUCCAAAUCGGGACCGAUGAUGUGUGGCUGGGGCCGGAGGCGCGGCGGCAACUGGGGCACCGCUGGUCAGACUCGGAGCAUAUCAUUGUAGCCAUGCAGCACUUGAAUUCGCAGACCGAAGACGAGGUGGAGAUCAACCCGCCGGCGGAGCUGCUCGAGGAGGCGGAGCAGCUGCUCCAAGAAUGGCAGGCGCACGUCGCAAAGAGCCGCUUCACGCAUCUCUUUGUGCUGUUCAACAUGGACAACGUCUUCCAGGCAACGACAGUCCUGCCGGUUCCGCGACAGUUCGGCAUCCGGGGUGGUCUCGGCAUUGGCAAGACGCGCAAGAUGGCCGUGCAGGUGUGCUCCCUGCACGCACUCGACACGCUGUGCACUCUCGGCGUCCCCCUGUGCGUCGACCCGGAGCGAGAGCGACGGUACCUACAGCGUCGUGCCGCACUCGGCAUGGUACUGCAGCGCACCUCUCCUGCCAACGAAGGAUCGCUGAUGCACGCGCGGGUGCCGCGGAGCUUCUCUGGGCUGCCGCCUCCGCCUUUGUCCGGUGCGGCAGAGAAGUCACCGGGAACGAGCGACGGCGGUGUGCUGCGCUUGCCGACGUACGUAGUAGAGGGUUCGCACAUACGCCUGCUGCCCCACAUCGCCGACACGCUACACACCAUGCAGUUGCGCAUCCCCGAGGACUACUGCCUUUUCGGUGGUGCCAGCGAGGAGGUGCUCGUCGAAAUCGGCAAUCAGGUGCGCAUGGCCGUGCAGAACUACUUGCAGGAGUCCCUGGGGGGGCUGUUGCGAAGUCGAAACAUGCAGCAGAGAAUCCAGAGCAAGAGCGGUGCGUCGAGGGCCGUACAAUGUGCUGCAGCAGAGGCCGGUGCGGGCGACGCCGUCCUGGUCACUACCGGCAGCGGCCAGCAAAACGAGACUCCGCCGGCAACGGGUGCGGAUGUACGUAGUGGCAGCGGCGGGGACGUGGACACGGCGAGCCGACCCGCAGCCGCCGUCGUGGAAGACAACAUCGCCGAGACACAGGCGUGGGCCACUCAGUUUGCCAUGAAUCUCUUGCCGCACAACAUCAUCAGGGGCUACGGACGGCAGAACAGCCUGCACAACACCAGCUUCCUGCAGGUGCCGAUCCCCAGUAGCGCUGUGCUGCCACCACCAGAGAUGUCGCACAAGAUUGACGCCUCGGCCGUAUCAUUGCCGCCGCACCCAUUAAUGGGACCCGUGUACGCCAUCGCCAUCGGCACGUCGCUCAAGCGUAAGGAUGCCGAGCGCGCCUGCUACCUUCACGCCGCGUCCAUCUUGCAUUCCUUUGGGGUGGAUGUCUUGGUGCAGUAUCCGCGCGGCCAGCCGCGGGUGCGCCACGCAUGCUCGUUCGCGGACGUGGCCAAGUACCUGAGCAAGGAGCCGCUCAUCAUUACACCCCCCUUCCUCUCUGACGGCACGCUGCGCGCCUCGGCGGUGGAGGCCGCCGGUGUCAAGCCGCCUCGGUCGGCGAGCAAGGAGACCGCCAGUGCGUUGUCCACCUCAUCUGCGCCACAGCCGGGCUCCCUGCACCCGCCUCGGCCUGUCAUGCACACGAAUAUGAAGGCGUUCUUGGAAAGCACACGAGGCAUCACGUUACCGAGGAAGCGGAAGGCCCGCCUCACAAGUCCCUCCUGAGGAGUAGGGCACACGGGGGUGGGGAAGUGAGAGGACGGGACAGGGCGGGCGGGGACGCCCAUCCGUUGGGUCGCCGGCGUCGAGAGAGCGAUGUGCGCGUACGUCUGUGUCUUGAGGUUUGUCUUUGCCAUGUGCUUCCACAGAAAUAAGCAGCCACUGAAAGGACCCGACAUACAACCUGGGUUUACGUCCGUAGGAGCUGGCGGGCUGCCGCAGUCUGGAGGAGGAGGGUAUGUGAUGGGAGUGCUCAAGGAAGAGGGGGGAGAAUGAGGAGGGCCGGUCGCCUCGCCCUCUUUGGCCACUACGGUGGAUGCGAAGUUCCUGCCUAACGCGCCAUCGGAAGGGCCCUCUCUCUCUCCCUCGCUUGUUGCCGGGUGGCUCUGCAGCCGUGGCCGACGAGGAGGCGGAAGAAGGUUAGAUGGCGGGGAGAGCGGGUGUGGCGACGGAGAGACGCAUAUUCGCAAAGAGUGGGGACGAGCAAGAAUCGAGUGUUCGCCCGGUUUCUCGGUGGGACUGCCGCUUGUCAUUGGCGGACGAGGGCGAGAGCUCGCGCGUGGGGGGGGGGGGGGGGGGGUCUGUGCGUCGACUGCACGCGUGUGUCGAUCGCAGUGAAACGCAAGGAAGGCGUUGGAUGCUCACUCGAAAGGGCCGAGGCAGACGCACCUGCGUGAUGUGAGCAGCAGCUCCACACUCUCACCUUCCCCCGGCAUUCACCUCUCCUGUCUUUUCAGUCUCUCUCUCCUCGUAGCCUCCUCACCCAGCCACCACCACCCCCUCGCCCACAUGAUUGAGUACUCUGUUCUUGCUGUCAUUGUCUGUAUCCCUUCCGCUUCUCUGCCCUUCGCCUUGCAG